UUAAACCUAUUUCCUAAGCAGCAAUCUGGCCUUUUAUUGACGUUCAGGUUUCCAAACGAAACAACUUCCACCAUUCCAAUCCCUUGCAUGACCGUCCAUUGUCCUCAUCUAUGAGAUUCAGACCACCGAAGAUACCUCCAUUUCUUCCUACUGUCUCCUCUGAACAGGAUUUUAUCCAUAUCAAGCCCAGAUUCAAGGUACCUCUGUUUCCCUAACCAUUUGUUUAAAUCAACAAGGGGUCUAUGGUUUCUCUCCAUUGCACAACAUUCUUUUCUAUUACUAUUGUCUUGGAGACAAAAAUGACCAGACCUGUUUUGAGUUUGUUCCCCUCCUCCUGUUUCACUGCUGCAUUAUCUUUGUCUGUCCGUUCUGGAUGAAAUCCUCCUACACUCAUCAUCUACCACCAUUUCCACUGCUUUCGGGAGUCUACUUUGUAGAUAAGUAACUUCUUCGCUUUGUAAUCGUUCUUGAGCAAGAACAUGUGCUCCUUUGUUUGCCUGCCUUGUUGCAUGCUUAAAUAGACAUGCCUUAAAGCCAGAACUUAAAUUUUUUGCACUAGAUGUAUAUGCCCUAAUUUCAGAAUUAUCUUCAUUCGUUGAUUGUAAUUUUUUAAUUACUGUUAAUGAGUCUCCCUCAAUCAUGACCCUUUCAAGUCCUAGAUCUAUCCCGAAUUCAGUUUCUUGGACACAAGAAAGUGCCUCUGCAGCGAAAGCUGUUGGUAUUUUUGUAUUGAUAAAUACUUUAAAAUGUAGAACUUGACCCUUUGAAUCUCUAACCAAAAUCCCUGAGCAUGAUUUUUUGUUUUGUUGAUUAAAAGUAGCAUCAAAAUUAAUUUCACCUCCACUGUUUCUGGUGGCCUCCAUUGUUCGCCUACCACCCUUCGAGCGGGUAGCCUUUGAUUUAACCCAUCUAAUUCAUGUAUAAAUCUCAAUAUAAAAUGCAUUGUAUCAUCUCCCAUCUGUUGCAUCCUGUCAUGCACAUAUUUAUUUCCAGCUGUCCAUAUUGCCCAAAGUGCGCAUGCAAUUCUUCUACAUUUGUAAAUUGAAUUCUUGUUAUAUAGAUGUAAUUGUCAGUCUUUAAAUUGUACCUGAUUCUGCUCUUGUGGCCAUCUUAUAUCUAAUUUUUCCCAUAUUUCUACUACAGAUGGGCAAUCCCGGAAAGCAUGUUCAGUACUUUCAAUCUCCCCUAUACAUUUGGGGCAACUUGCAGAUCUUACCAGUCUUCUUUGAAAUAGAUUAAGUUGAGUAGGGAGAUAAUUGUUAAUAAAUCACCAAUUCAUAAUCUUGAUUUUUGAGGGUAGCUCCAGCCUCUAUAGUUUUUUUGUAAAUAGGGCUAUACGUAUUCGGUCCGUUGUUGCCAGUAGUAGAAUGAUGUUCUUGUAAUAAAUUUUUAUAUCCAUUGUGCACUGAGAAUUCCCCAGAAACUUUGCCACACCACACUAAUUUAUCCAUCUUUAGGACACAUAGAAGAGGAAUACACAAAAUUCUAUAUGCUUCUUCCGCACUAAAGUUAUCCUUUAUUUGAUCUUCUUUCCAGCAGUUUGAGCUUUGAACAAUUAAAUUAGAUACCUAACUUACUAAUUGAUUAUUCUCUUAUAUUUGUACAUUUAAAUCCUCAGGUCCUAGAAUCCAAGCAUCCUUCCAUAUUGAAAUUUGGCUUCCGAUCCCACUCCCCAACAUAAUCCUUUCUCAAGAAGACCUCUUGCCACCCAAACACUUUUCCAAGUAUAUGAAGGUAUAUUUCCCAACCGAGCAUUAACAAAAUCUGAAUUGGGAUAAUAUUUUGCUUUUGAAGAAUGAGCCAAUAAGGAAUCCAAAUAACAUAUGAAACGCCAUCCUUGUUUCGCUAAUAAUGUUACAUUAAAUUUUGACAAAGACCUAAAUCCCAAUCCCCCGUUUCCCUUUUAAUUCACCCAAUUUCUUCCAUCCACACCAAUGUAUUCCAUGUUGUUUUUGCCACCAUAAUCUAUUUAUAAUGUUUUCCAUUUCAAUACAAAGUGAAUUUGGUAAUAAGAAACAUGCCAUAGAAUAAGUAGGGAUCGCUUGUAAAACUGAUUUUAUAAAUACUUCCUUCCCCCCUCCCCUUGUGAAAGAUGCUUUGUACUCCAACUAUGUAUUCUACUAGUAAGUCGAUCUUUCAACACUUGAAAAGCCCUUUUUUUUUCGUCCUACCAUAUCAGGCAAGUCUAAAUAUUUCUCCAGAUCCCUUGACAUCCUGACAUUAAGGAUUGAAGACACUAAUUCUCUUAUUUGUUCUGGAACAUUAGCCUAAAGUAGGAAAGUGGUUUUUCAAAAUUAAUACACUACCCUGAAAACAAUUCACACUCUCAUAGAAAAUUUUUUAAAGAGUGUGCUCCCCUUUCUAAUGCUUCUCCAAAUAGAAUACAAUCAUCAACAAAUAAUAAAUGUGAAAUAAUUGGACCUCGUCGACUGAGCUUUUCCCUUUUAAUGAUGUUUCCUCGAAUUGCUAACCUCAUAAGAGAAGAGUCUUUCACUGCAAAUUAAAAACAAGUAAGGGCUUAAUAGAUCUCCCUGUGGUAGUCCUCUUCCUGAUUUAAACAUUUCCCCAAUUUCACCAUUCAAGCAUACGGAAUAAUAAAUUGUACUUAGAUAAUGUCUUAUAAAUUCCACAAAUGAAGCGGCAAAUCCCAAUUUUUUCAUCAUUUGUUUAAAAAAAACCCACUCCACUCUAUCAUAAGCUUUAUUCAUGUCAAGCUUAAGUGUUAAACUCCCUUUCUAACCUAACCUUCUUUUUUAAAACG
rnacentral:lncRNA from 1 species